rnacentral:rRNA from 1 species
UACGAGGGGUGCUAGCGUUACUCGGAAUCACUGGGCGUAAAGGACGCGUAGGCGGAUAGAUAAGUCUUUUGUGAAAUCUAACGGCUCAACCGUUAAACUGCUUAAGAAACUAUUUAUCUAGAGCAAGGUAGAGGCAGAUGGAAUUGGUGGUGUAGGGGUAAAAUCCGUAGAGAUCACCAGGAAUACCCAUUGCGAAGGCGAUCUGCUGGAACUUGACUGACGCUGAGGCGUGAAAGCGUGGGUAGCAAACAGG